rnacentral:rRNA from 1 species
CCUACGGGUGGCUGCAGUAGGGAAUAUUGCUCAAUGGGGGAAACCCUGAAGCAGCAACGCCGCGUGGAGGAUGAAGGUUUUAGGAUUGUAAACUCCUUUUGUGAGAGAAGAUAAUGACGGUAUCUCACGAAUAAGCACCGGCUAACUCCGUGCCAGCAGCCGCGGUAAUACGGAGGGUGCAAGCGUUACUCGGAAUCACUGGGCGUAAAGAGUGCGCAGGCGGGCUUGUAAAGUCAGGUGUUAAAGGCGCAGGCUCAACCUGUGUAUGGCACUUGAUACUUGCAAGCUGGAAUGCGGUAGAGGUAAAGGGAAUUCCUGGUGUAGCGGUGAAAUGCUUAGAUAUCAGGAGGAACAUCGGUGGCGUAAGCGCUUUACUGGGCCGUAAUUGACGCUGAGGAACGAAAGCCAGGGUAGCAAAUGGGAUUAGAUACCCGAGUAGUC